rnacentral:rRNA from 1 species
UGGGGAAUUUUCCGCAAUGGGCGCAAGCCUGACGGAGCAACGCCGCGUGAGGGAGGAAGGCCUGUGGGUUGUAAACUUCUUUUCUCUGUGAAGAAGAUCUGACGGUAGCAGGGGAAUCAGCAUCGGCUAACUCCGUGCCAGCAGCCGCGGUAAGACGGAGGAUGCAAGCGUUAUACGGAAUUAUUGGGCGUAAAGCGUCCGUAGGCGGUUUGUCAAGUCUGCUGUUAAAGACUACAGCUCAACAGAGGGAUGGCGGAGGAAAGUGAUGAACUAGAGUGCGGUAGGGGUAGAGGGAAUUCCCAGUGUAGCGGUGAAAUGCGUAGAUAUUGGGAAGAACACCAGUGGCGAAGGCGCUCUACUGGGCCGCAACUGACGCUGAUGGACGAAAGCUAGGGGAGCGAAUGGGAUUAGAUACCCGCGUAGUCC